UCAAAGGAAGUCGAAAGUAUUUUGUUGGUUGGAAAGAAAACUCUAAUGGCUGGCUUUACAGCCAGACAUUGGAUUUUAUUCUCAAUCGAAUGGUACUCGCGACCAAAGUACUUGCCCGUAUCGUGGUUGGAAAGCAUCUAAUUUCCAGUCAUUACAAACCAGAUGCACUCUCAAUUGAUCAUCAGAGGACCUUCAAUGAAGAUGAACGCUUCGAAUUUAGUCGGAGUUGUAACUUACAACUUGUAAGAAUAAAAAUAAUUUAAAAAUGAAAAAAAUACAAAAAAUUCUCUACGAUCAAGUUGAUGGUUUGAUAUAUUACUUAACAUCGAACAUUGAACAUCUAACAGCCAACAUCUAACAUCCAACAUUGAACAUCAAACAUCGAAUACAUUCAACAUCUAUAUGUGUGCUAGGGUAACGAGUGUAAUACUUAAGCUAAGCUAAUUGUGAGUUUUAUGCGUAUACAGCAGGAAAUGUCUUACUAUAUUUUACGAUUAAUGCUAAAACUCGUAUCAACUUGAAAGUUGGGUAACAUCGAAAGCCUUGGCAAUAUUGAUAUGUCUCAUGAAUUUGUAGGGGGCUACACUACAAGUCAAUCAUUGACACAUUAAUUUUGCCGCGAAAUCAGAUGUUACCAUCGAGAAUUUCCCCCAGAGUCGAUUCUCACACUGUCUAACCAUUUAAGAUAGCACGAGAUUCGAACCCGGGUCCCUAUGUACACGAAGCGAGUGUUUUACCACUGCGCCACGGAACUAGGUGCUCGAUCAUUUUUAAAACUUCCACAUUUGAAAACUAUACUUUCAAGUGGGGUUACAUUAAAUUGCAAUGGAAAUAAUUGCUAAAUGUUUAUUAAUAAGCAUGUGGAUAUGUGGCAAUUAAUUAAAUUCUUCGUUUGAUCAAGUUUUAUUUAAAAAAAAAAAUGAAAAAAA